GUAAGCGGCACAGCGAAAGCGUUAAGUAAUCCACCUGGGGAGUACGCCGGCAACGGUGAAACUCAAAGGAAUUGACGGGGGCCCGCACAAGCGGAGGAACAUGUGGUUUAAUUCGAUGAUACGCGAGGAACCUUACCCGGGUUUGAACGCAUUUGGACCGGCCUUGAAAGAGGUCUUCUAGUAAUAGCCAUUUGCGAGGUGCUGCAUGGUUGUCGUCAGCUCGUGCCGUGAGGUGUCGGCUUAAGUGCCAUAACGAGCGCAACCCUUAUCUUUAGUUACUAACAGGUCGUGCUGAGGACUCUAAAGAGACUGCCAGCGUAAGCUGUGAGGAAGGUGGGGAUGACGUCAAAUCAGCACGGCCCUUACAUCCGGGGCGACACACGUGUUACAAUGGCAUGGACAAAGGGCAGCUACCUGGCGACAGGAUGCUAAUCUCUAAACCAUGUCUCAGUUCGGAUCGAAGUCUGCAACCCGACUUCGUGAAGCUGGAUUCGCUAGUAAUCGCGCAUCAGCCAUGGCGCGGUGAAUACGUUCCCGGGCCUUGUACACACCGCCCGUCAAGCCAUGGGAGUUGGGGGUACCUAAAGUCCGUAACCGCAAGGAUCGGCCUAGGGUAAAACCGAUGACUGGGGCUAAGUCGUAACAAGGUAGCCGUACCGGAAGGUGCGGCUGGAACACCUCCUUUCUGGAGC
rnacentral:rRNA from 1 species